CCUACGGGAGGCAGCAGUGGGGAAUUUUGGACAAUGGGGGCAACCCUGAUCCAGCCAUUCCGCGUGAGUGAAGAAGGCCUUCGGGUUGUAAAGCUCUUUCAGCUGGAACGAAACGGUAGUCUCUAACAUAGGCUGCUAAUGACGGUGCCAGCAGAAGAAGCACCGGCUAACUACGCGCCAGCAGCCGCGGUAAUACGUAGGGUGCGAGCGUUAAUCGGAAUUACUGGGCGUAAAGCGUGCGCAGGCGGAUUGUUAAGCAAGAUGUGAAAUCCCCGGGCUUAACCUGGGAAUGGCAUUUUGAACUGGCAAUCUAGAGUGUGUCAGAGGGGGGUAGAAUUCCACGUGUAGCAGUGAAAUGCGUAGAGAUGUGGAGGAAUACCGAUGGCGAAGGCAGCCCCCUGGGAUAACACUGACGCUCAUGUACGAAAGCGUGGGUAGCAAACAGGAUUAGACACCCUGGUAGUCCACGCCCUAAACGAUGUCAACUGGUUGUUGGGAGAGUGAAAUCUCUUAGUAACGAAGCUAACGCGUGAAGUUGACCGCCUGGGGAGUACGGUCGCAAGAUUAAAACUCAAAGGAAUUGACGGA
rnacentral:rRNA from 1 species